rnacentral:rRNA from 1 species
AUACGGAAGGUCCGGGCGUUAUCCGGAUUUAUUGGGUUUAAAGGGAGCGCAGGCUGAUGAUUAAGCGUGACGUGAAAUGUAGCCGCUCAACGGCUGAACUGCGUCGCGAACUGGUUAUCUUGAGUGAGUUCGAUGUUGGCGGAAUUCGUGGUGUAGCGGUGAAAUGCUUAGAUAUCGCGAAGAACUCCGAUUGCGAAGGCAGCCAACAAGGCCUUUACUGACGCUAAAGCUCGAAGGUGCGGGUAUCGAACAGGAUUAGAUACCCUGGUAGUCCGCACGGUAAACGAUGGAUGCCCGCUGUUUGCGAUAUACUGUGAGCGGCCAAGAGAAAUCGUUAAGCAUCCCACCUGGGGAGUACGCCGGCAACGGUGAAACUCAAAUGAAUUGGCGGGG